rnacentral:lncRNA from 1 species
CAAGGUUUAUCUGGUUGCAUUCCAGGUCUCAUAUCAGGUUGCAAACAGGCUGCUCUUAGACCAGCUCAGUUUGUGUACUUUUUUUUUUAAGGUCAUGGAAGCUGAAGAUUGGAAAAGCAAAUAGAAGAAAAUAAAUUCUUCAGCUUGGAGAUAAGCAGGAAACCCAAAGAACAUGUUCUUAAGUAUAAGACCUCAGUAAUAAUAUUGAAUAGAAAUUCAACUAAAUGGAGCUGACAGAAGCCCAGACAGGCAACCAGGAGAUUCUUGUGGCCUGCCCCUGUUUCAUCUUCUGCCAUGAGUAAAAGCUCCCUGAGGCCUCCUGAAGCCGAGCAAAUGCUGACACUGUUUUCUGUACAGCCUGCAGAGCUAUGAGUCUUGCCCUGUCGCCCAGGCUGGAGUGCAACGGCGCAA